rnacentral:rRNA from 1 species
GACAGAGGGGGCAAGCGUUGCUCGGAAUUACUGGGCGUAAAGGGCGCGUAGGCGGGAUGGCAAGUCGGUCGUGAAAUCCCUCGGCUCAACCGAGGAACGUCGAUCGAUACUGCUGUUCUUGAGGAUUGCAGAGGAGACUGGAAUUCCCGGUGUAGCGGUGAAAUGUGUAGAGAUCGGGAGGAACACCGGUGGCGAAGGCGGGUCUCUGGGCAGAUACUGACGCUGAGACGCGAAAGCAUGGGGAGCAAACAGG